GACGAACGCUGGCGGCGUGCUUAACACAUGCAAGUCGAACGGAAAGGCCCUGCUUUUGUGGGGUGCUCGAGUGGCGAACGGGUGAGUAACACGUGAGUAACCUGCCCUUGACUUUGGGAUAACUUCAGGAAACUGGGGCUAAUACCGGAUAGGAUCUCCUGCUGCAUGGUGGGGGUUGGAAAGUUUCGGCGGUUGGGGAUGUACUCGCUGCUUAUCAGCUUGUUGGUGGGGUAGUGGCUUACCACGGCUUUGACGGGUAGCCGGCCUGAGAGGGUGACCGGCCACAUUGGGACUGAGAUACGGCCCAGAAGCCUACGGGAGGCAGCAGUGGGGAAUAUUGCACAAUGGGCGGAAGCCUGAUGCAGCAACGCCGCGUGCGGGAUGACGGCCUUCGGGUUGUAAACCGCUUUCGCCUGUGACGAAGCGUGAGUGACGGUAAUGGGUAAAGAAGCACCGGCUAACUACGUG
rnacentral:rRNA from 1 species